UAGGGAAUAUUGCUUAAUGGGCGAAAGCCUGAAGCAGCAACGCCGCGUGUGCGAUGAAGGCCUUCGGGUUGUAAAGCACUUUUUGAGGGGAUGAGGAAGGACAGUACCCUCAGAAUAAGCCUCGGCUAACUACGUGCCAGCAGCCGCGGUAACACGUAGGAGGCGAGCGUUAUCCGGAUUUACUGGGUGUAAAGCGCGUGCAGGCGGUUCAGAAAGUUGGAUGUGAAAGCUCCCGGCUUAACUGGGAGAGGUCGUUCAAUACUUCAGGACUCGAGUAUGGGAGAGGGAGGUGGAAUUCCGGGUGUAGUGGUGAAAUGCGUAGAUAUCCGGAGGAACACCAGUGGCGAAAGCGGCCUCCUGGUCCAUUACUGACGCUCAGACGCGAAAGCUAGGGUAGCA
rnacentral:rRNA from 1 species